CCUGUGGUACUGUACAUAUUCCAAGAAUGUAAUGCUAAUGUUGUGGCAUCUGGAAGGGUUGCUGGAGUUGAUCUUGUAGAACAGAUAACCCAAUGAGGCAUUUGUAUUGUCAGAACUCCAGAGGUUGACUUUGAAGAAAGAGUACUAAUAGUGAAGCAAGAGUUAUGUCUACUGGCCGGUGAUGAAACUGAAUCGAUAUGGACAAAACAAAAAGCUUGGUUUUAAUAAAUUAAACGAAGAUGAGAAUGAAUAGGGUCCCUUGCAAUUCAUCUCUCUGAGCUAGACAUCAUGCUCUUCAAAAGACUUUUGAACCAUUAGCAGCAGCAGAAGAACCAGGCUUAACAAAACAUACUCAUCAUUCCAGACAAAUUUGCUUUUGAUCUCUUGGAAUGAAUGAUCAAGUAUAAUUUAUGUAUGUCUGAGAAACAAUUUGGAUGUUUUGGAACUCGGGUUAUGUAUCUGUUGGAACUUGGGUUUUAUACUUGUCAUCACUACUGUAUACAUAUAUGUUAGUCUACCUCUGGUGUAAUUUUAUGUUGUGAAUUUAGUUUCAAUUGUUGUUUUUA